rnacentral:lncRNA from 10 species
CAGGAAGGGGCCAGUCCCGCUGCCUCAGCACCCCUUGUCCUGGACUCUUACCCCCCAACACCCUGUCCUCUUCAUAGGCAGCCAGCACAGGGUUUAAAACCACACAGGAUUUACAUUUUUGCAAAGCGUAACGUUGAAGAGGGCCCAGGUCACUUAGUGCAAUGUAUUUAUAAUCUUGGCCACACGUGUCUGGCGUAGACACCUGAAGUUCCUCGGUUCUCCGCCUUGGUGGGUCUUCUCUCCUGCGGGCACAGUGCAGAUGCAGAUGAGUUUCAGAGCUGGUCAAAAGUAAUUCCAUCACCUGUAGGAUGCAGAACUGCUCAUUCUGCACCCUUUGCUAGUGCCCUGUGUGGGUGGCCUCCCCUGCCCCUCCCCAUCCCUUAGGGCAGGUGUUAUCAGCCCUGUUGGAGAGGAGGCAGCUGAAGGCCACAGGGGCCGCGUGCUCUGUAUCAGUCACAUGUCACAUCUGUCAGGCUCCAGAGCCCAUGUUCUUUUCACUAGAAUCUGUUUCACUAGAAUCUUUUCACUGGGCAUCUGUUUAUCACUGAGUCAGCAAACUAGACUUCUUCCUGCUUCCUUGCAAGCGAAUCCCCACAUACUCGGCAGGCAAGGGCCUUCCCAGAAGCCCGUGUGGAGAGUGGUUCCCUGAAGGGCAGUGUCUGGGGCUGCUUUUGACUUGGUUCUCAGAGGCCUCACAGGUGCAUCUGAAAUGCUCCUUCUGAGACAGUUUGGUGACCAGGCCAGUAUCUUUUGUCUUUCUUGCAAACCCUGUUUGAUUUCCCUUUUUGUAUUCAGAAGAAAAGUCCUGAUCUUGUAGCCUGUUUGGAGUCUGUGAUAGAAACAGAGCAGAAGGCUUUUAAAAUGCAUCUUCAGACAGUGAGGUGUGUCCUGAUGCAGGAUUAACCUUGAACUCCGGAGGCAGAAGAGCCAGGAAGGAGCACUGAGCUGGAGCUCUCUUGCAUUUGGGGCUUGCCGCCUCCCAGCUCUGCGUUUCUGCAAGCUGAUGGCCAGGAGCCAAGCUACGCUGAGGGGCUGUGGGGGCAGUGAGCGUGCCACCCACACAGAGGGACUGAGCGGAAGACGCACACCGCUCCCUUGUCGUGUGGCACAGCUGUGUCACUGCUCUUCUAAACGUGGAGAAAGCCCCUUAAACUCCAAAUGGCCAAAGGCUUUGCAGUCCUUGGUUUCACAUCCGUGGCACCUUGGGUGGAGUUGCUUCUGUAAGCCAACAGAUGAGCAGGUUGCAGCCCCACCCACGUCACGGUGUACAGCGAGUAUGGCGUGGACGUCUUUGAUGUGCGCACCAUGGAGUGGGUGCAGACCAUCGGCCUGCGGAGGAUAAGGCCCCUGAACUCUGAAGGCACCCUCAACCUCCUCAACUGCGAGCCUCCACGCUUGAUCUACUUCAAGAGCAAGUUCUCGGGAGCGGUUCUCAACGUGCCGGACACCUCCGACAACAGCAA